GGAAUAUAAGAAACCGUAUCUUAACUUUUAACUAAAAAAAUUAAGAACCGGUUUUUAAAUAAGAUAUUUAAGAGCCGGUUCUUAGCUUUUUUAGUUAAAAGUUAUGAGACGGGUUCUUAUAUUUU
rfam:Brassica oleracea var. oleracea cultivar TO1000 chromosome C9, whole genome shotgun sequence